rnacentral:lncRNA from 1 species
UUACAAAAUAGUAAUAUUAAAAAAUAUUAAAUCUUUUAUAUAAGUAGUACAAUAUUUAUAAUGACAAUUACCUCGAGAAUCCGUCACUUAAUCAAAAUUUUACCGACUUUCUAGCCAUUUAAAAUGUGAGAAAGAGAGCGGUUUUGUUUAUUAACUAUCAGCGAGCAACUUUUCUAGGGCUACGAGAAUGGCUGGCAAGCACCUCCUCCUUGCCUUCUUUGUGCAGAAGGCCAGAAACUGACGGUUGGGUCAGAGAA